rnacentral:rRNA from 1 species
AACAGGAUUAGAUACCCUGGUAGUGCACGCCGUAAACGAUGUCGACUUGGAGGUUGUUCCCUUGAGGAGUGGCUUCCGGAGCUAACGCGUUAAGUCGACCGCCUGGGGAGUACGGCCGCAAGGUUAAAACUCAAAUGAAUUGACGGGGGCCCGCACAAGCGGUGGAGCAUGUGGUUUAAUUCGAUGCAACGCGAAGAACCUUACCUACUCUUGACAUCCACGGAAUUCGGCAGAGAUGCCUUAGUGCCUUCGGGAACCGUGAGACAGGUGCUGCAUGGCUGUCGUCAGCUCGUGUUGUGAAAUGUUGGGUUAAGUCCCGCAACGAGCGCAACCCUUAUCCUUUGUUGCCAGCGAUUCGGUCGGGAACUCAAAGGAGACUGCCGGUGAUAAACCGGAGGAAGGUGGGGAUGACGUCAAGUCAUCAUGGCCCUUACGAGUAGGGCUACACACGUGCUACAAUGGCGCAUACAAAGAGAAGCGACCUCGCGAGAGCAAGCGGACCUCAUAAAGUGCGUCGUAGUCCGGAUCGGAGUCUGCAACUCGACUCCGUGAAGUCGGAGUCGCUAGUAAUCGUGGAUCAGAAUGCCACGGUGAAUACGUUCCCGGGCCUUGUACACACCGCCCGUCACACCAUGGGAGUGGGUUGCAAAAGAAGUAGGUAGCUUAACCUUCGGGAGGGCGCUUACCACUUUGUGAUUCAUGACUGGGGUGAAGUCGUAACAAGGUAACC